rnacentral:rRNA from 1 species
AAUGCGUUUUGAGAUGGUCCUGCGGCCUAUCAGCUAGUUGGUAGGAUAGUGGCCUACCAAGGCUAUGACGGGUAUCCGACCUGAAAGGGCGAACGGACACACUGGAACUGAGACACGGUCCAGACUCCUACGGGAGGCAGCAGUGGGGAAUUUUGGACAAUGGGGGAAACCCUGAUCCAGCGACGCCGCGUGGAGGACGAAGGCUUUCGAGUUGUAAACUCCUUUUAGAGGGAAAGAAAAAAAUGACGGUACCCUCAGAAAAAGCCACGGCUAACUACGUGCCAGCAGCCGCGGUAAUACGUAGGUGGCGAGCGUUACUCGGAAUUACUAGGCGUAAAGCGUAUGUAGGCGGUUAGAUAAGUCUUUAGUGAAAUUUCUUGGCUCAACUGAGAAUAGUCUAAGGAUACUGUUUAACUUGAGUUUAGGAGAGGGAGACGGAAUUCCUGGUGUAGCGGUGAAAUGCUUAGAUAUCAGGAGGAACACCAAUGGCGAAAGCAGUCUCCUGGCCUAACACUGACGUUAAUGUACGAAAGCUAGGGUAGCAAACAGGAUUAGAUACCCUGGUAGUCCUAGCUGUAAACGAUGUUCACUAGAUGUGGGAGGUAUUGACCCCUUCUGUGUCGACGCUAACGCAUUAAGUGAACCGCCUGGGGAGUACGACCGCAAGGUUGAAACUCAAAAGAAUUGACGGGGGUCCGCACAAGCGGUGGAAUAUGUGGUUUAAUUCGACGCACCACGAAAAACCUUACCUGGGCUUGAACUGCUAAUAGUAAGAGCCGGAAACGGCGAUGAUCCGCAAGGAAGUUAGUAGAGGUGCUGCAUGGCUGUCGUCAGCUCGUGUCGUGAGAUGUUGGGUUAAGUCCCGCAACGAGCGCAACCCUUAUCCCAUGUUACCUGUAGAAAUACAGGGUCUCUGAGGAAACUGCCAUUGAUAAAAUGGAGGAAGGUGGGGACGAAGUCAAGUCAUCAUGGUCUUUAUGUCCAGGGCUACACACGUAUUACAAUGGACGGUACAGAGGGUGGCAAUACCGUAAGGUGGAGCAAAUCCCUAAAGCCGUCCUCAGUUCGGAUUGUGGGCUGCAAUUCGUCCACAUGAAGUAGGAAUC